UCGCUCAGGUCUCUCCUCAGCUUCCACGCACUAAUCUUUCGCCUUUUACUAAAGAUUACCGUGGGGAGGGACACUCCAAUGAGCCUAUAGGCCAAUUUUUGGGAGGCCUUACCCGUUUGGGUGAGG
rnacentral:snRNA from 1 species